AAGUCGUAACAAGGUUUCCGUAGGUGAACCUGCGGAAGGAUCAUUAACACGUAUCCAACGUUAAACAACCCUGUGAACUUUAAGUCCCAAACAGUUUUGAUUCGGGACCUCUGUCCAAAAGGAGUUGCAAUCGAAGGGUGGAAGCAGUGGCAUGGCUUCCCCAAGCAGUUAGUGAAUGACAGUGUCACUGACUGUGUAAGGAUAACGCCUCACGGUUGCUAGAGGUCGAUCACCGACCGGCAGACAUGUCACAGGGUCACCACGCCCCUUAAUCACUCCACUUGAAAAUGCCCCGCCUAGUGGUAACGCGCUAGGUAAAAAAAACCGAACAACUGUUAACAAUGGAUAUCUUGGUUCUC
rnacentral:misc_RNA from 1 species